ensembl:lncRNA uncharacterized protein PB18E9.04c-like
GUAACAAAAACUGCAGGAUUAACAGAUAUAUAAGCUCAUAAACGUAACUCAUGAGGAGCAAUUUGAUCUUUGUGGCUAUCCUGGGGAUAGCAUGCAUGAUGAUUGGAGUCAAUGGGAACAAUACAACGAGCAGUAGCAACUCCAUAGGCAGCUGGAUAUCUUCUAACAUGACCACCAACCUGACCCAGACACUCCCUCCCAACAUAACCACCAACCUGAACCAAACAAGCCUUGCCAACAUAACCAACAUCCUGCCCCAAACACAGCCUCCCAACAUAACCACCAACUCGCCCCAAACACAGCCUCCCAACAUAACCACCAACCUGAACCAAACAAGCCUUGCCAACAUAACCAACAUCCUGCCCCAAACACAGCCUCCCAACAUAACCACCAACCUGACCCAAACACAGCCUCCCAACAUAACCACCAACUCGACCCAAACACAGCCUCCCAACAUAACCACCAACUCGACCCAAACACAGCCUCCCAACAUAACCACCAACUCGACCCAAACACAGCCUCCCAACAUAACCACCAACCUGAACCAAACAAGCCCUGCCAACAUCACCGCAAACCCGACCCAGUCAGGCCCCCUCACUGUAACAAACAUUAUAAAAACGUCAAGUUCUAAUACUCAAUCAAUAGAAAUCACUGGCAGGGAUAACUGCAAGAGGGAUAGAGCAUGUUUCUCUGCUCCACCUUCCUGUAAUCCAAGUGCACAAGGUUCCUGCUAUUUCCUCUCUACAAGAGGAGUAGGUGGAAAUGCAGAUAAUUUUACUUUUGAGAUCAGUGGUGAGACAGAUGGUUACAUCGGAGCAGGCCUCUCUCGAGACAAGCGUGGUCAAGGAGCCACUGUCUAUUCUUGUGCCAAAGUCAAUAGUGAACUGAGGUUUUUCCGUUCCACACUGAACAAUCAAAUACUGACUCAGGAUAACACAUUCAUCCCUGGAAGUUUCCGUGGUUCGAUGAAUGGAAGAAAGAUUCAGUGCAUUUUCACUGCUGCAGGUCUCAGCAACAAUGCCCGUGCUGCAGCCACAGACAAUUUUGUCUUAUUUUUAACAGGAAGCGUCUCAAAUGGUUCUCUGGAUUCUCCAGUCACUAGACUGGCCACAAAUGGGUCAGUGGACUUAAGCAACCCUAACAGCACAGAUGUUACAGUAAUAACACCCAGUAUAGAUGCCACCACUACAGCCCCAAACAGCACUGCAUCUACUGCCACUGCAGCAUUAAACACCACUGCAUCUACUGCGUCUGGAGUAUCUACAGCUAAUAAUGGUACAGCAAAUGACAAGGUCACCAAAGACAACUGUAAGAAGGACAGGGCAUGUUUCUCCACUCCAGCCAACUGUGAUCCAUCCAGCUCAAGUAGCUGCUUUUUUGCCUCCACAAGAGGGGUGAACGGAGACUCCGACAAUCUCACUUUUGAGCUCAGCGGGGAUGCAAAUGGUUACAUUGCAGUUGGCCUGUCUCGAGACAAGAAGGAGGGUGAUAAUGACACCGUCUAUUCUUGUGCCAACAACAAUGGUGUGGCGAAGUUCAUCCGUGCAACACUGAAUAAUACCAUUCUGACUCCGGAUAAUACCUUUAACCCCAGAUCCUUCCGUGGCUCUGUGAGCGGCACUAGGAUUCAGUGCAUUUUUGUAGCUGCGGGCCUCAGCAGAAUCAUCCGUGCAGCAAACACAGAUACUUUCCUCUAUUUCUUCACUGGCAACUAUGCAAACGGCACUCUGGGGUCGCCAGUCACACGAAUGUCUACAAAUUCAUCGGUUGAUCUAACGAGCACUAACAGCUCAGAUGUUGUCAUAAUAACACCCACUACAAAUACUACCACUACUACGGUUUCUACUACAGCAAAACCUGCUACUACAGCAGGGAGCAAUGCACUGCAUCAUGCUGCAUCUCAGGCUGCUCUGGUAAUUCUCUCAGGGAUCCUUGCAGUCCUCCUGUUGUAAGGAUGCUGCCAACACGUCAUUUGCUUUCUGAAAUUGGUCGAUGAGCACUGAACGCUUGAUGAACCCAACACUAAAGUAUAUGUAAUUCAGCAUAUUUAUAACUGUGCAAUGUUGUGACUCUGGGAACAAUGAGGAAAGGAGCUGCAAAUAUGGGGAAGAGGGCAAUACAUCAUUUAUUUUAUCUGUGUGUAUGUGUGAGAGAGGUUGUGUUUGAGUGUGUUUUGUGAGCAUUAGUGUUUGCAUUCUACUAAUGUACUGCUACUUAAAAUCAGGCUCCUGCACAGAGAGGGCUGAUACAAAUUAGUGUAAUUGGUCUAUUGAUUUAAUUGUGCAAGUGUGAUGCCACGUGGCUGAAAUGAUCAAAGAUAAUUAUUUUUAGAUGUCUUAAUUUAUUUUGCAACUGUUGCCUCAAACCUGUAGUUGCCUGUAACUUUUAAAUAAAGUCACAUGUAUAUUUUUUUUGAAGAAAAAGAUGUAUAAUAAAAUGUUUAUGUAAACAAUGAAACUGCUAGAUCUCUCUCUCUCUGUGUGUGUGUGUGUGUGUGUGUGCUUUCACCAGUGCAUGGAAUAAGGGUUUAAGGCACAGCAAAGAACAUAGCUA